CUCCUAGGGAUGUCACUGUCAGGUUUGCCUUUGCUGCGAUGGCGACUCGUCGCUGGAACUCAUCCCGUACCGCUGUGUACGCGGGUGCAACUAGCCGGGUGAACACCGUGCCUGACAAUGUUCAGCAACAAAUUAAAGAAAAAUACAAAGGAAAAAGAGAGGCUAUACUAUGUGAGGUGUUUUUCAAAAAAGGCAUGCGGGGCACCUCAUGGUGUGAGAGUGAUGUAUGUUCAUAUAACGUGGAGCAUUUUGACUCAAAGUUUGUUUCAAUUUUGCCUGAUUUCAUGCCUUUCAUUUGAGAAAAUAAAACAUGGGCAUUCAAUUCGACUUCCAUGUUGAAAAUUCGGACAUGGGAUAAGGAUACAAUCAUGCAACUACUCAAGAUACCACGCUAUGUUUUGCAACUAAAAUGGGAAAUAGGAAAAAGCCACACCAAGAUCUCGAGGAAAGUAGAAAGGCAUUAAUACCAGAAUCAAAGACGGUGCCGGCUCCGGUGGCCGCAUUGAACGCCAACGCCUCAGGAGGAAUAUCGACAACUUUCCGACCAACCCUAAUUGCAACCAAGU